GAUGAACGCUGGCGGCGUGCCUAAUACAUGCAAGUCGAGCGAAUGGAUUAAGAGCUUGCUCUUAUGAAGUUAGCGGCGGACGGGUGAGUAACACGUGGGUAACCUGCCCAUAAGACUGGGAUAACUCCGGGAAACCGGGGCUAAUACCGGAUAACAUUUUGAACCGCAUGGUUCGAAAUUGAAAGGCGGCUUCGGCUGUCACUUAUGGAUGGACCCGCGUCGCAUUAGCUAGUUGGUGAGGUAACGGCUCACCAAGGCAACGAUGCGUAGCCGACCUGAGAGGGUGAUCGGCCACACUGGGACUGAGACACGGCCCAGACUCCUACGGGAGGCAGCAGUAGGGAAUCUUCCGCAAUGGACGAAAGUCUGACGGAGCAACGCCGCGUGAGUGAUGAAGGCUUUCGGGUCGUAAAACUCUGUUGUUAGGGAAGAACAAGUGCUAGUAGAAUAAGCUGGCACCUUGACGGUACCUAACCAGGAAGCCACGGCUAACUACGUGCCAGCAGCCGCCGUAA
rnacentral:rRNA from 1 species